GACGAACGCUGGCGGCGUGCCUAAUACAUGCAAGUUGAGCGAUGAAGCUUGGUGCUUGCACCAAUUUGAAGAGCAGCGAACGGGUGAGUAACGCGUGGGGAAUCUGCCUUUGAGCGGGGGACAACAUUUGGAAACGAAUGCUAAUACCGCAUAACAACUUUAAACAUAAGUUUUAAGUUUGAAAGAUGCAAUUGCAUCACUCAAAGAUGAUCCCGCGUUGUAUUAGCUAGUUGGUGAGGUAAAGGCUCACCAAGGCGAUGAUACAUAGCCGACCUGAGAGGGUGAUCGGCCACAUUGGGACUGAGACACGGCCCAAACUCCUACGGGAGGCAGCAGUAGGGAAUCUUCGGCAAUGGACGAAAGUCUGACCGAGCAACGCCGCGUGAGUGAAGAAGGUUUUCGGAUCGUAAAACUCUGUUGGUAGAGAAGAACGGUGGUGAGAGUGGAAAGCUCAUCAAGUGACGGUAACUACCCAGAAAGGGACGGCUAACUACGUG
rnacentral:rRNA from 1 species